GUACUCUGGUUCCUCUUCAGAUCAAAUAAAGCUUUCGCUUUACUAAAAUUUUCUGUGGAGAGAAUCAUCCAUGAGUUUAAAAAAAAAAAAAAUUGAGGCUCUGCCCCUUGCAGGGCU